rfam:Gossypium hirsutum cultivar TM-1 chromosome 16, whole genome shotgun sequence
UUUUAAAAUUUUCUAUCUAUUUGUACUGUUAAAAACUGGCAUGAUUGAUCAGCUAGACAAUAACACGUGGCAUGCUAUGUAAACCGCAUGCUGCCGCAUAAAAACUAAUUUUUAAUAGUAGAAAUGGAUGAAACUUUUAACA